AGAGUUUGAUCCUGGCUCAGGAUGAACGCUGGCGGCGUGCCUAAUACAUGCAAGUCGAGCGAACUGAUUAGAAGCUUGCUUCUAUGACGUUAGCGGCGGACGGGUGAGUAACACGUGGGUAACCUGCCUGUAAGACUGGGAUAACUUCGGGAAACCGAAGCUAAUACCGGAUAGGAUCUUCUCCUUCAUGGGAGAUGAUUGAAAGAUGGUUUCGGCUAUCACUUACAGAUGGGCCCGCGGUGCAUUAGCUAGUUGGUGAGGUAACGGCUCACCAAGGCAACGAUGCAUAGCCGACCUGAGAGGGUGAUCGGCCACACUGGGACUGAGACACGGCCCAGACUCCUACGGGAGGCAGCAGUAGGGAAUCUUCCGCAAUGGACGAAAGUCUGACGGAGCAACGCCGCGUGAGUGAUGAAGGCUUUCGGGUUGUAAAACUCUGUUGUUAGGGAAGAACAAGUACAAGAGUAACUGCUUGUACCUUGACGGUACCUAACCAGAAAGCCACGGCUAACUACGUGCCAGCAGCCGCGGUAAUACGUAGGUGGCAAGCGUUAUCCGGAAUUAUUGGGCGUAAAGCGCGCGCAGGCGGUUUCUUAAGUCUGAUGUGAAAGCCCACGGCUCAACCGUGGGAGGGUCAUUGGGAAACUGGG
rnacentral:rRNA from 1 species